rnacentral:snRNA from 1 species
GUGCUUGCUUUGGCAGCACAUAUACUAAAAUUGGAAUGAUACAGAGAAGAUUAGCAUAGUCCCUGCAAAAGGAUGACACAUAAAUUCAUGAAGCAGUCCAUAUUUUA